AGUUCCAGGGAAAAGCAAAACUUGUUCGAGAAAGGAAAGAUAAAUAUGGUAUACCACAUGACCUACUUGUUGAGAAUGUAAUGAGCUAAUUUGAAGAAGCCAGGCGCUUUUCUUUUCCCCUCCCCAAGACUGCCUUUAUCUGAAAGAAGAAAGAAAGAACUGUUACAUUUUGCAUGCAAAGAAAGCCUGAGUGGCUAGAUUACUCCCUCAGGGCAAUGGAAAACUGAAAAAGAAAUUGAAAAGGGUCAGGCAAACACGGCAGAAACAAUGAAGAGAGAUUGCUUGGAAUGUCACAUCUCAAUAAGCUUUAAGAAAAGCUGGAAUUAAAAGUUCGUUUUUAAAAGAAGGCAGAAAAAACAAGAGUUCUGAGGGGCGGAUAAAAUAGUUAAUGUUCUUUUGGUCACACCAAUUUGAGGGGGUAGGUUUGAAAAAACAAGCAAAAUCUGUCACUCUGAAUGAAUGACAGAACCUCAUCACCAGUAAGGAAUCGAUGGCAUAAUCCAGAUGAGAAAUGUUAAUAACGUGGACUAGAGUGGCAGCAAUAGAGACUGAAUUUGGGAUAUAGGCCGGAAAGAUAUAUUGUUGGGAGCAUAGAGUCAUCCACAUGAAGAACAACCCUGUUUCCUGGGCUGGAGUUUAGAAUCAGCUCACCACUGGAUUGCACCAGCCAACAGAAAAACAUGGAAUGCUUCAGGAAUUGGCAUGUCAUCUUCACAGAGGGCCAUGCUAAUCUCCUCUGUACUGUUCCAGUUUCAGUAUAUGUGCUGUCAAAGCCAGCACCAGCCGUAGUAUUUUGACUGGUUUCUGAUGUUGGGCCUUCUUGGUCACCUGUGGCAAUUGAGAGUCCAGCAAUGGGUGGGAUGAUAA